rnacentral:rRNA from 1 species
UCCUACGGGAGGCAGCAGUGGGGAAUAUUGGACAAUGGGGGCAACCCUGAUCCAGCGACGCCGCGUGUGUGAAGAAGGCCUGCGGGUUGUAAAGCACUUUUAGUGGGGAUGAAAUGUGCAGGGUUAAUACCUCUGCAUUUUGACCUAACCCACAGAAAAAGCACCGGCUAACUCUGUGCCAGCAGCCGCGGUAAUACAGAGGGUGCAAGCGUUAAUCGGAAUUACUGGGCGUAAAGCGUGCGCAGACGGUUGCGUAAGUCAGAUGUGAAAGCCCCGGGCUCAACCUGGGAAUUGCAUUUGAGACUGCGUAGCUAGGGUGCGGAAGAGGGAAGCGGAAUUUCCGGUGUAGCGGUGAAAUGCGUAGAUAUCGGAAGGAACACCAGUGGCGAAAGCGGCUUCCUGGUCCAGCACCGACGUUCAGGCACGAAAGCGUGGGGAGCAAACAGGAUUAGAUACCCUGGUAGC